GACACGGGACUGCCGGUCUUAAGCCGGAGGAAGGUGGGGAUGAUGUCAAGUCAGCAUGGCCUUUAUAUCCUGGGCUACACACACGCUACAAUGGCCAACACAAUAGGUUGCUAAGCCGCGAGGUGGCGCCAAUCCAUAAAGUUGGUCUCAGUUCAGAUUGUAGGCUGCAACCCGCCUGCAUGAAGAUGGAGUUGCUAGUAAUCGCGGAUCAGCAUGCCGCGGUGAAUACGUUCCCGGGCCUU
rnacentral:rRNA from 1 species